rnacentral:lncRNA from 1 species
UUCUCAACUUCAAUUUUCAAUUAACCAAAUAUGAAAUACAAGAUUACAACCUUGACGAGAUUUUAACCCCACGUACAAUGUCGAGAUCAAGUAUCACCCAUGAACACUUAGAAAGAUCCUACCCUAGCGAAUCUUAGACGACAUUGUAUUUUCCUCCACAAUGAGAGCGAGUUCAUCCCACGACCCGGAAUAAACCACCUCUUACACCCCUAAAUUCGACCUCGAAAUACAGAGACAAUAAUUAAACAGACGGGACAAUAAGACUCAAUUGAUUCCAAACUAAGUCCAAACUAAUGGUCGCCUUAUGUUACGAGUUGAGUCCGUGGACCACAAUAUCACCACCAGAGGUGCAUUCCAAUCUGAGUCUCACAUCCUCCGCCAAUCACUAUCCUGGUUCUCAGCCUAAAACCGGACACCAAGACCGGAUUGAAAUUGCGGACCUUGAUAACAGCAAACGAGGCAGAGUACUAAACGCGACUUCAAGAGGUGCGGAGUUCAUACCACCGGAAAACGACCACAAGACCAUCGCCGGUGCUGGGAAGUAGAAGCUCUGCCGCGUUUCACCAGCAAGGACCCUCUCCUUCGGUUGACAACUCCAUUGUUGAAGGGCUUUGCCAUGCGUCGCACAAUCACACCACUCCUCCAAACGUCUCACCUUCGCAUGGGAAGGAGAGAUCCUAGGUGAAGGAGACGUCAAACCCAAACCACGCGCCGUUAUCGUGAAAGUUCUGUCAUAUAUCUGGAAAUUGGAAAACUUGGAUCUGACCGAACCUUCGGUCCUAAAAGUCGACUCUCAUCACCACCAUCCCGCCAUGAGUCUCGCCGCCCCUCCAUAGAAAGCAGGGCCCCGCCUCCAUUGCAUACAGUGAAUGCUCCGGAAGAGGACUCCACAGGCACAAUAACGACAUGCAUAUCGACCUAGGGGAAAAUAGAAGGGGUGAGAGCAAAAGGAAAACGAGUUUGUAAAGGAAGAAGGUGCGCCCCCGACGCACCGGAGCUAGGGUUUUAUUUUUGUCGGUGUUGCUUCUUUAGAGAGAAGGGAGAGCAGAGAGACUUUUUUUAUUUUUUUGGAAACUUUUGACAGUGAUUUUGUAUUGUUCUCAAUUUUCAUUAUUAUUAUGAUUAAAAAUUAGAUGCCGAGGUUAUAUAUAAACUAUAUUUGUUAUUUAAUCGGCUAUGAUUAAAAACUUGGGAGGC